GUUCUUGCACGCGCUGCACGUGUAUAUUCUUUGCACAUGCAUCUUCAAUGGAUUGAUAAUCUUCUUUUCUUCAUAUGUGUUUUUUGGCAAAAAGUUAGGCUUAGGGAACAACUUGCUCAACAGAGUAAGGAGAUCAUUGAAACUAUUGUCUAACUAGUUGAAUUUAGCCUUUAGGAUCAGAAGAUGAAGGAAGAAAUUCAACACUAUCUACUCCUUCCCAUAUCCCUCAUACAUACAGUCCUUUGCUGCCUUCUUGAGUAUCUUAAAAUUCUCUAACCUUUUAGCACUGCCUAGCAACACUUCUGGUUCAAUGUGGUGCAUCAUGUCCUUCAUAUCAACAUCAUGUUCCUAAUCCACUUGUGGUUCCAAACGCGCAUCUGUUUGAUCACCAUUUUGAUCUCCACUGUCAUAAUCAUCAUGCAUCAUAACAUGAUUAUUUUCGUUUGCAUCAUCACCACCCACUUCAUCAGAGCCAGUAUCGAUGUCUGUGUUCUUGAAAGUACCUCUUCCCUCACCAUGGUGGAACCAAAUUAUGUAUCCAUCCACAAAACCUCGC
rnacentral:lncRNA from 1 species